UAAGUGAUUUUAGAGAGGAAGUCACAAG
rnacentral:sRNA from 1 species